rnacentral:piRNA from 3 species
UCCGAACGUACCACGGUGCCCCAGU